AGAUUGUAAAGAUAUUUCACUGGUUUACUGUGAUUUUUGAAUGUAGGGAAUUGCUCUAGAUCACCUUGAACUGAACUUUAAGCAUAUUUAAAUGAAUACUGGGGAACAUCUGGAUUGAAAUGAAACCUGUAUGCCCAUCAGACAAGUAUAAUUGAAGAGUUCACUGAUGUAGUGCACCCAGUAUAAACUCUAUUAUGUAUCCCAAAAGCACCAGCUGCCUCUCCUGUCAAGCUUAAAAACACCAUUGCUGUUUUCCAUAGUUCUCAGCAGAACCUUUAAUGAAACCUUUCCUGUCUUUUUUCUGACCACAGCCAAGGUUGUUUUCCACAGGCAGUAAUGUGAUCAUCACAAAUCAAAUGAUACAUGUACACUUGAUUGAGUAAGACAUAUUUAAUAACUACUUAUCACAAAAUCCCAUUGCCAUGUGAGUUUUCCCCCUAAAGGUUUAAAGGUAAUUAAUAAAAGCAACGAACUAAUGCUGUUUUUUAAUUAUCUACACAGGAACGGGGCAGAAGGAGAAGAGAAAAAACGGAAGACAUGGAGAGAUGGAACAACGACUCAUGAAGUGCUAACUGACAAAGCUGGAAGAGUAAGAGAGACUGCAGGUGCAAAACUACUUUUUUCACAUGUUUUAAAAAGGAUAUAGUAAAAAAAAAAACAAUACACACAAAAAAGGAAACAAUCCACAUAAAUGUUAUUUGCAGAUUUUCCCAUAUUAGAAAAAACCUUGGCACAGUGGAAUAGAUUUACAGGAAUGAUGUAAACAUGAAAUUGUAGCAAAAAACUGAAAAAUGAUGUGUGUGCAGAGACCCAUCUACCUGUAGAAAAUAGAAUUGAUUAGCAUUAAAAAUACAUCAACAUGAAAAGAUGUUUAAUUAUUACGUUUUAUACAACAUUUAUACACCUGAAUACAUAUACAAGAUUUAUCUACACUGGCGUAUUACUGGUUCCUAAGUUACUGUCAGCACUAAACAUUUCUAGUUGGUUGCACAUAGACAGAAUUUUAUCUAAGCUAUCUUCCAGUUUAUACAGCUUUCCAGAUUAUGGGUUAAGCCCUGCAUUUCAAGCACUUGAAUCUGAUGCUCAUCUCUUUUGCAACUGUGGAGUUCAUUUACAAAGUAACAAAUCAUAAUCAACAGCCACAUGAUUACAUUUCCUCCACGAUUACUAUCAUUGCUCUCUGU
ensembl:lncRNA